GACGUAGGGCGCGAGCGUUGUCCGGAUUUAUUGGGCGUAAAGAGCUCGUAGGCGGUUUGUCGCGUCUGCUGUGAAAACUCGGGGCUUAACUCCGGGCCUGCAGUGGGUACGGGCAGACUAGAGUGCGGUAGGGGAGACUGGAAUUCCUGGUGUAGCGGUGAAAUGCGCAGAUAUCAGGAGGAACACCGGUGGCGAAGGCGGGUCUCUGGGCCGUAACUGACGCUGAGGAGCGAAAGCGUGGGGAGCAAACAGG
rnacentral:rRNA from 1 species